rnacentral:rRNA from 1 species
GACGAACGCUGGCGGCGUGCCUAACACAUGCAAGUCGAACGCGAAAGAGGGGGCAACCCCUCGAGUAGAGUGGCGAACGGGUGAGUAACGCGUGAAGAACCUGCCUUCGAGAGGGGGAUAACACUCCCAACGGGGUGCUAAUACCGCAUGAGACCACGGGUCCACCUGGACCUGAGGUCAAAGGUGGCCUCUGCUUGCAAGCUACCGCUCGAAGAUGGCUUCGCGUCCCAUUAGCUAGUUGGCGGUGUAACGGACCACCAAGGCGACGAUGGGUAGCUGGUCUGAGAGGAUGGUCAGCCACACUGGGACUGAGAUACGGCCCAGACUCCUACGGGAGGCUG